AAUAGUUGAAGAGAGCUUCCUUCAGUCCACUCAUGGAUGGGAAAGGGGUUUGAAUUAGCUGCUGACUCAUUCAUUCAAACACAAUAGAUUCGGCUUCAUGAUAUGUUAUUGUGAAUGUGUGAAUGAUGCGGGAGGUAAAUUUCUUCCUUUUCUUGUCCUUGCUUGGACUGAAGGGAGCUCCCUCUAACUUCUUA
rfam:Glycine max cultivar Williams 82 chromosome 2, whole genome shotgun sequence.